UACGUAGGGUGCGAGCGUUGUCCGGAAUUACUGGGCGUAAAGAGCUCGUAGGUGGUUUGUCGCGUUGUCCGUGAAAACUCACAACUCAAUUGUGGGCGUGCGGCGAUACGGGGCAGACUGGAGUACUGCAGGGGAGACUGGAAUUCCUGGUGUAGCGGUGGAAUGCGCAGAUAUCAGGAGGAACACCGGUGGCGAAGGGCGGGUCUCUGGGCAGUGAACUGACGCUGGAGGAGCGAAAGCGUGGGGAGCGAACAGG
rnacentral:rRNA from 1 species